rnacentral:rRNA from 1 species
GAUGAACGCUAGCGGGAGGCUUAACACAUGCAAGUCGAGGGGCAGCACGAGGUAGCAAUACUUUGGUGGCGACCGGCGCACGGGUGAGUAACGCGUAUGCAACCUACCCUGUACAGGGGGACAACCCGGAGAAAUUCGGACUAAUACCCCAUAAAGAUAUUUGGAGGCAUCUUUGAAUAUUUAAAGUUCCGGCGGUACGGGAUGGGCAUGCGUGACAUUAGCUAGUUGGUAGGGUAACGGCCUACCAAGGCUUCGAUGUCUAGGGGUCCUGAGAGGGUGAUCCCCCACACUGGUACUGAGACACGGACCAGACUCCUACGGGAGGCAGCAGUGAGGAAUAUUGGUCAAUGGGCGCAAGCCUGAACCAGCCAUCCCGCGUGAAGGAAGAAGGCGCUAUGCGUUGUAAACUUCUUUUCCAGGGGAAGAAAACCAGAUACGAGUAUCGGCUUGCCGGUACCCUGGGAAUAAGCAUCGGCUAACUCCGUGCCAGCCGCCGCCGUAACAC